rnacentral:rRNA from 1 species
UACGUAGGGGGCAAGCGUUGUCCGGAAUCAUUGGGCGUAAAGAGCGUGUAGGCGGCCCGGUAAGUCCGCUGUGAAAGUCCAGGGCUCAACCCUGGAAUGCCGGUGGAAACUGUCGGGCUAGAGUCCGGAAGAGGCGAGUGGAAUUCCUGGUGUAGCGGUGAAAUGCGUAGAUAUCAGGAGGAACACCUGUGGCGAAAGCGGCUCACUGGACCAUAACUGACGCUGAUGCACGAAAGCUAGGGGAGCAAACAGG